rnacentral:rRNA from 1 species
CACGUAGGGCGCAAGCGUUGUCCGGAAUUAUUGGGCGUAAAGAGCUCGUAGGCGGUCUGUUGCGUCCGCUGUGAAAACCCGGGGCUUAACCCUGGGCUGGCAGUGGAUACGGACAGACUAGAGGUAGGUAGGGGAGAAUGGAAUUCCCGGUGUAGCGGUGAAAUGCGCAGAUAUCGGGAGGAACACCGGUGGCGAAAGCGGCUCUCUGGGACGGUACUGACGCUGAGACGCGAAAGCGUGGGGAGCAAACAGG